rnacentral:rRNA from 1 species
UACGUAGGGGGCAAGCGUUGUCCGGAUUUAUUGGGCGUAAAGAGCGUGUAGGCGGCUGGGUAGGUCCGUUGUGAAAACUCGAGGCUCAACCUCGAGACGCCGAUGGAAACCCUCCAGCUAGAGUCCGGAAGAGGAGAGUGGAAUUCCUGGUGUAGCGGUGAAAUGCGCAGAUAUCAGGAAGAACACCCGUGGCUAAGGCGGCUCACUGGUCCGGUACUGACGCUGAGGUGCGAAAGCGUGGGGAGCAAACAGG